rnacentral:tRNA from 1 species
GUCAGGUUGGCCGAGUGGUCUAAGGCGUCAGAUUUAAGCUCUGAUACUCGUAAGAGUGCGUGGGUUCGAACCCCACAUCUGACA